rnacentral:rRNA from 1 species
UACGUAGGGAGCGAGCGUUGUCCGAAUUCACUGGGCGUAAAGCGCGCGUAGGCGGGUUUUUAAGUUGGGGGUGAAAUCCCGGAGCUCAACUCCGGAACUGCCUCCAAAACUGGAAGCCUUGAGGUAUGGAGAGGGAAGUGGAAUUCCUGGUGUAGCGGUGAAAUGCGUAGAUAUCAGGAGGAACACCCGUGGCGAAGGCGGCUUCCUGGCCAUAUCCUGACGCUGAGGUGCGAAAGCUAGGGGAGCGAACGGGAUUAGAAACCCUGGUAGU